rnacentral:SRP_RNA from 2 species
GCUGGGUGUGGUGGUGGGUGCCUGUAAUCCCCGCUACUCAGGAGGCUGAGGCAGGAGAAUCGCUUGAACCCAGGAGAUUCUCACUGAGAUUGCAGUGAGCGGAGAUCACGCCACUGCAUUCCAGCCUGGGUGACAGAGUGAGACUCUGUCUCAA